rnacentral:rRNA from 1 species
AAUGAACGCUGGCGGCGUGCCUAACACAUGCAAGUCGAGCGAGAAAAGCUCUUCGGAGCUUAGUACAGCGGCGGACGGGUGAGUAAUGCGCAGGAACCUGCCCUUUGGUGAGGAAUACUCUUGAGAAAUCGAGAAUAAUACCGCAUAAGUCCCUACGGGGAGAAAGGCGGCUUUAAUGCUGUCGUCAAAGGAUGGGCUUGCGUGCUAUCAGCUAGUUGGUGGGGAAAGCCUACCAAGGCUAUGACGGCUAACCGGGCCUCGAGAGGGUGUACGGGUCACACUGGAACUGAGACACGGUCCA